AUUGAACGCUGGCGGCAGGCUUAACACAUGCAAGUCGAGCGGAGAUGAGGUGCUUGCACCUUAUCUUAGCGGCGGACGGGUGAGUAAUGCUUAGGAAUCUGCCUAUUAGUGGGGGACAACAUUCCGAAAGGAAUGCUAAUACCGCAUACGCCCUACGGGGGAAAGCAGGGGAUCUUCGGACCUUGCGCUAAUAGAUGAGCCUAAGUCGGAUUAGCUAGUUGGUGGGGUAAAGGCCUACCAAGGCGACAAUCUGUAGCGGGUCUGAGAGGAUGAUCCGCCACACUGGGACUGAGACACGGCCCAGACUCCUACGGGAGGCAGCAGUGGGGAAUAUUGGACAAUGGGGGGAACCCUGAUCCAGCCAUGCCGCGUGUGUGAAGAAGGCCUUUUGGUUGUAAAGCACUUUAAGCGAGGAGGAGGCGCUCUAGGUUAAUACCCUAGAUGCGUGGACGUUACUCGCAGAAUAAGCACCGGCUAACUCUGUGCCAGCAGCCGCAGUAACAC
rnacentral:rRNA from 1 species